CCCUUAGAUGUCCUGGGCCGCACGCGCGUUACACUGAUGCAUUCAACGAGCUUAUAACCUUGGCCGAGAGGCCUGGGCAAUCUUGUUAACGUGCAUCGUGAUAGGGAUAGAUUAUUGAAAUUAUUAAUCUUGAACGAGGAAUUCCUAGUAAACGCAGAUCAUCAAUCUGCAUUGAUUACGUCCCUGGCCUUUGUACACACCGCCCGUCGCACCUACCGAUUGGAUGGUCCGGUGAAGCCUCGGGAUUGUGGUUCUUGCCGCUUUAUUGUGGCGUGACCGCGAGAACUUGUCUAAACCUUAUCAUCUAGAGGAAGGUGAAGUCGUAACA
rnacentral:rRNA from 1 species